ensembl:lncRNA
AGUGUCGCAAAAUGACGCAUGCGCAAUGUGAGGGACUACGAUCCCCCAAAGGACUACCAUCGCGUAGCGACAUAUGCUCUCGCCGAUUGUUUGAAACGCACGUUGCCGUCACUGGUGGGAGUAAGACGCUAGCUGCACCUCGUCAGGAGUUUCAUGCCGGAACUUCACGUUAGGCAUUGCCCCGUUUGACUAUAGUAUUGCAAGAGGUCUCCCCUGGCUACUGGGGUUAACAAGGGACGCCAAGCUGACGUGGGUCCCUCCUCCCCAUGUCCACCUGGGUCCUUCCUUUUGUAUGACCGUCAAGGCCAAGAUCACAGCAGCAAUUGACAGUCUGGCCACUGUUUUCCUCCUGUUUAUUUCUUUGAUUUAGUUCUGUGUGUAUUGACUGACCUAGUUGAAGCUACGUGUCUCGUUGUUACAUGUAGUUGUAUUAUUGUCACCCAUUUCUGUGGCCUGGGUGCCUAACCCAGGGCGAGUGGCAAGGUAACACUGUAUUGGUACAUGUAUGGUACUAUUCUGCCCCUUAAAUUGCUGUGUGAACACCCCCCUAGUGGUUGAGUGGAGUUUAACAUGACCUGUAUAAGGUUGUUCUCUGUGUGAUUUAUCUUGACCUCACCGUUUUGCACUUUGCAGUAUUACACUAGUGUGUGCAUGAGUGUGCUAUUCAUCACGUAUGGCUGAAUAGUGGUCAGAGGUACUCUAGCCGUGUUACUCUAGUUACUCUUGGUUGGCCCCCUGGGCCUAUGUUAUGUGUUUUUGCUUUCUUUUCUUUUAAGUCUGAUGUAUGUAUCGUCAUCGUGUUUUUGUUACUCUUGCCAAGUAAAGAACAACACAAGAUCUGUAUUGAAAUACAUUUAUUUAUUGCUUAUAACAGCCUCGGUUUGAAUCCAUUUAAUUGGGUAACAUACAAAGUAUUGGGGAACUUACCAUAUGGUCACACAGGAUUCAUCACUAAUAAAGACAUUUUCAUAAUGUUUAAGAUGUUCUGAAUAUAUUCCACCUCACUUUUAUCGAGAUGCUAUCCUGUGUUUCAUCAGAUGAAAGUGGUAUGAGUCACAGGCAGGGACGUGCACAGGAAUUUUGAAGGAAAAAAGGGGCAACACGUACAUUUUUGCCGCCGCCACGCCCCCGUCCCCUGGACGCUUAUUCCGCGAUUAUUUUAUCUAGGCCUACAUGAAGUUCUGCAGCCGCGAUACUAUUUAAAAAAUAUAUAUAUGUCCUUCGGAGGGGCAACUUCAGUCGUAGAGGGCAAACGGGCAGUUGCCCGAGCAACCUUAGCCCCCUCCUGUGCACGUCCCUGGUCACAGGGUCUAUUUAUUGAACAUGCUAUUUCACGUUAGCUAUCUUUAAAGUAUUGUUGUGUAGUCAAUGACGCGAUUCAUCACUAAUAAACACAUUUUCCGCAAUGUUUAGGAUGUUUGUUAAAUGUACCACCCCACUUUCACACAAUCAUUGGUUGAAUCAUUGAAUCACGAGUCUUCCCAUUAUGCAGAAUGCAGUUGCUUUUCUACAAUGACUGUUAGAAAACUGGACUGCAUAUUGUCUACAAAAAGUGAUAGAGACUCUAAAAAUGUGUAGCUCCGCUCCCUCCAUGCGUUUCAAUGACAAAAUAGCCUAUUUCCAUGUCACUUUUCUCGCCUAAAAUGUCUUUCCAUCUACAGUGUCUAAUUUAAACAGUUAUUAAACUAUCAAUUUGGAACUCCGAUUAAUAAUUAAAUUAAUAACUGCAACCAAAGUUACCUAGUGAGGUUGAAGUUCUGAAUAGAAGAGAUUGGCAACAUUCAUUCUUGUGUAACAUUAAAUAGACCAGUGGAUAUUAUCAAAGCAUUUAUUAACAAAAUGAUCAGAAAUAAAACACACAAUAUAUAAUCUAACUAAAUGCAUCUAGCUAAUGAAUUAAAGGGCAGUGCGUGUAUGAAAGACAGGGAGUGUGUGUGUGUGCAAGCUUAUGUGCUCGAGUGUGCGCUGUCGGGUGUGCGCCAGAAAGAAUGUGUGUGUGUUCCUUUCCACGUCCAUAUGUGUGUACGUUAGUGAACAUACAUGUGACAUGAACAAGAGACAAGCCUAUGUGAAGCGCAAAGUUUGACUGUUCUCUUUGCGUGUGUGGCUAUGUCGAGGCCAAUGAAUGUGGCCAGGUUAGAAGCGGGAAAUGUUUAGUAAAGCAUGCAAGACCCUAUGUCUCUGGGAAGCAAUAUUCUUAAGAGGCCACAGUGGGUCAGAGUUUAACAAUUUAUUUCGUCAGGUACAAGAUACUUAUACAGUAACAUAUUCAACAGGUAUAAAAUGAAUAAUCUAAAGUUACAAGUCUAAAGGAAACAUACGAGACAUCCAGGUGAAGGUACGUCACCAUUUCUGUUAUAAAAUUGACAGAGCUGC